rnacentral:rRNA from 1 species
UUGACGGGGGCCCGCACAAGCGGUGGAGCAUGUGGUUUAAUUCGAUGCAACGCGAAGAACCUUACCUGGUCUUGACAUCCACGGAAGUUUUCAGAGAUGAGAAUGUGCCUUCGGGAACCGUGAGACAGGUGCUGCAUGGCUGUCGUCAGCUCGUGUUGUGAAAUGUUGGGUUAAGUCCCGCAACGAGCGCAACCCUUAUCC